GGUGGGGUGGCAGAGUGGUCUAAUGCACCAGUUUUGAAAACUGGCAUGGUUUAAUAGCCAUCGUGGGUUCGAAUCCCACCCCCACCGCCA
rnacentral:tRNA from 1 species